CAGUCGCCGCGGGAAUACGGAGGGUGCAAGCGUUAAUCGGAAUUACUGGGCGUAAAGCGCACGCAGGCGGUCUGACAAGUCAGAUGUGAAAUCCCCGGGCUUAACCUGGGAACUGCAUUUGAAACUGUCAGGCUGGAGUCUUGUAGAGGGGGGUGGAAUUCCAGGUGUAGCGGUGAAAUGCGUAGAGAUCUGGAGGAAUACCGGUGGCGAAGGCGGCCCCCUGGACAAAGACUGACGCUCAGGUGCGAAAGCGUGGGGAGCAAACAGGAUUAGAGACCCGAGUAGUCCCUGUCUCUUAUAA
rnacentral:rRNA from 1 species